rnacentral:rRNA from 1 species
GGACCUGACUGCUAUCGGAUUGAUACUAAGCCAUGCGAGUCAUUGUAGUAAUACAAGGCAGACGGCUCAGUAACGCGUAGUCAACCUAACCUAUGGACGGGAAUAACCUCGGGAAACUGAGUAUAAUGCCCGAUAGAACAUUAUGCCUGGAAUGGUUUAUGUUCCAAAUGAUUUAUCGCCGUAGGAUGGGACUGCGGCCUAUCAGUUUGUUGGUGAGGUAAUGGCCCACCAAGACUAUUACAGGUACGGGCUCUGAGAGGAGUAGCCCGGAGAUGGGUACUGAGACACGGACCCAGGCCCUAUGGGGCGCAGCAGGCGAGAAAACUUUGCAAUGUGCGAAAGCACGACAAGGUUAAUCCGAGUGGUUUCUGCUAAAGGAACCUUUUGACAGUCCUAGAAACACUGUUGAAUAAGGGGUGGGCAAGUUCUGGUGUCAGG